rnacentral:tRNA from 1 species
GCGUUCUUAGCUCAGUUGGUUAGAGCAUCACCUUGACAUGGUGGGGGGCGGUGUCUUGAGUCCUCUAGAACGCACCA